AAACUAUUUUGUUUUGUUUUGAAAACAAAAGUUAAGAAUGUUUUUCUUGUAGUUUU
rnacentral:tRNA from 1 species